AUGCCAUGAUGAGGACAUCUUCUGAGCAACUUUUUAAAUCUCUCUCAAGGCUCAUACAAGCUCUCAUCUUCAAGUUAGUGAAAAAAGGUGAUCUCAUUCCGUAAUUUU
rfam:Citrus sinensis cultivar Ridge Pineapple sweet orange scaffold00265_contig_4, whole genome shotgun sequence.